rnacentral:rRNA from 1 species
GACGAACGCUGGCGGCGUGCUUAACACAUGCAAGUCGAACGGAAAGUCCCUGCCUUGGUGGGGUGCUCGAGUUGCGAACGGGUGAGUAACAUUUGAGUAACCUGCCCUUGACUUUGGGAUAACUUCAGGAAACUUGGGCUAAUACCGGAUAGGAGCUCCUGCUGCAUGGUGGGGGUUGGAAAGUUUAGGCGGUUGGGGAUGGACUCGCGGCUUAUCAGCUUGUUGGUGGGGUAGUGUCUUACCAAGACUUUGACGGGUGGCCGGCCUGAGAGGGUGACCGGACACAUUGGGACUGAGAUAAGGCACAGCCUCGUCCGGGAGGCAGCAGUGGGGAAUAUUGCACAAUGGGAGGAGGCCUGAUGCAGCCAAGCAGCGUGCGGGAUGACGGCCUUCGGGUUGUAUACCGCUUUCGCCUGUGACGAAGCGUGAGUGGCGGUAAUGGGUGAAGAAGCUCCGGCUAACUCCGUG